CCCCCAAAGAGCUGGGAUUACAGGCAUGAACCACCGCGCCUGGCCAAGACUUUUCCUUAUGAGCCCAAGCAGCAUCUUCUUGGACAUCCUUAGCUCUGAUUUGGCCCCACGAAUAGCACUGAGCCAAAUGCCUCGGGAGGUAACCCUGUUGUGUCCAGUCAGAGCCUGCCGUGCUGGGGCCAGGCCUACCGAACCUCAUGGUUGAGAAUGAUAGAGAAUGAAUCUCUCUGAGGACAACCAGGGCACUGUUGGCAGAAGACAGGGCCAACCCUGGAGGGCCACCAGCGUAUUUCCUCCAGAGCUGCAUCCUCCUUACCUUGAACUGACCGGCUUACCCCCGAAGUGUGUCAAGUCUGGACACUGCUCAGGCCUUAGAUUGUGAAACUCCCUGCCGCACUUGCCACUGCUGAUCCUUCUUGAAAUUCUCUACUUUAAUGGUUCUUGACCCUGUCUGUCUUCUGACUACGUUAAUGUGGAGAAUUUUGCACUUAUCGAUAGCCAGGGGGUUCAGAUAUGCUGGGUAUGAGACUGGGGUAGGGGUCAGGUGUCUGUUUGCUUACAGAGAGUCCUGGGUGACCUUGAUGCAAGUAGCUCCAACUAGGAACCACUAGGCUUCUGUGGCAUCACCCUCUCCUGGUCCACUGUGCAGGUAUUUACUGAGUAUGUGAGGGACACUCAGGCAGGUGCUAAGCAUCAGAGAUGAACAAAACAAGGUCAUUGUGUGUCCGGAGUUGGUUCCUUCCGGUGGGUUUGUGGUCUCCCUGACUUCAAGAAUGAAGCUGCGGACCUUCGCGGCGAGUGUUACAGCUCCUAAAGGUGGUGUGUCCGGAGUUUCUUCCUUCCAGUGGGUUCGUGGUCUUGCUGACUUCAAGAAUGAAGCCAUGGACCUCGGCGGUGAGUGUUACAGCUCUCAAAGGUGACAGGGGCCCAAAGAGUGAGCAGCAGCAAGAUUUAUUGUGAAGAGCAAAAGAACAAAGCUUCCACAGCAUGGAAGGGGACCCGAGUGGGUUGCUGCUGCUGGUGGGGGGUGGCCAGCUUUUAUUCCUUUAUUUGUCCCUGCCCACAUCCUGCUGAUUGGUCCAUUUUACAGAAUGCUGAUUGGUCCAUUUUACAAACCUCUAGCUAGCCACUGAGCGCUGAUUGGUGCGUUUUACAAUCCUAGCUACAGAGUGCUGAUUAGGGCAUUUUACAAUCCUCUUGUAAGACAGAAAAGUUCUCCAAGUCCCCACUCGACCCAGGAAGUCCAGCUGGCUUCACCUCUCAAUUGUUCUUACAAAGCUUUUUUUUUUUUUUUUUUUUUUUUUUUUUUGAGACAGGGUCUUGCUCUCUAUCACCCAGGCUUGAGUGCAGCUGUGCAGUCAUAGCUCACUGCAGCCUCCAAUUGCUGGGCUCAAGCGAUCCUCCUGCCUGACCCUUCAGAGUAACUGGGACUACAGGUGCUAUAGGCGCAUGCCACCAUGGCUGGUUAAUUUUUAUUUUUUAAUUUUUUGUAGAGAUAGGGUCUUGCUAUGUUGCCCAGGCUGGUCUUGAACUCCUGGGCUCUAGCGAUCGUCCUGCCUUAGCCUCCCAAACUGCUGAAAUUGUAGGUGUUAGCCACCACGCCUGGCCCAUAUGAAGCUUAUAUCACAGUGGGGGAUGUUGAGAGAGACAACUAAAUGAGUACAUGUCCGAAGGGGUUCAGAUAGUGCUGUGAACUAUCAGGAUGAAGCUGAUAGGAGGAAUGAAGAAAGUCAAUCAGGAUGAAGUGAUGGGGGAAUGGAGAGCUGUCUUAGAUAGGAUGCUCAGCACUGGCUGCCCUGGCCAGCGCAGUGGAAUAGGCAGGACCUGUCAUUUACUGAGGGUCCACUCUGUGCCUGACCUUCACGAGCUGUUUUCCAGACAGUCUCUCAGUUAAUAUUCACAAUGACUCUUUGAGGUUUGUUGUAUUAAUCACUAUCUUAUAUAUGAGCAAAUUGAGACUCUGGGAAGUUAAAUAACCUUGCUGAGAUUAAACAGCCAGGACUGAUAGAGCCAAGACAGAAAUCCGG
rnacentral:lncRNA from 10 species